AUUGAACGCUGGCGGCAUGCCUAACACAUGCAAGUCGAACGGCAGCACAGUCUAGUUUACUAGGCGGGUGGCGAGCGGCGAACGGGUGAGUAACGCGUAGGAAUAUGCCUUGAAGUGGGGGACAACUAGGGGAAACUCAAGCUAAUACCGCAUAUGUUCUGAGGAACAAAGCUGGGGACCGUAAGGCCUGGCGCUUUGAGAGUAGCCUGCGUCCGAUUCGCUAGUUGGUGAGGUAAAGGCUUACCAAGGCGACGAUCGGUAGCUGGUGUGAGAGGAUGAUCAGCCACACUGGGACUGAGACACGGCCCAGACUCAUACGGGAUGCAGCAGUGGGGAAUAUUGGACAAUGGGGGAAACCCUGAUCCAGCAAUGCCGCGUGUGUGAAGAAGGCCUGAGGGUUGUAAAGCACUUUCAGUGGGGAAGAGGGUUAGCAGGUUAAGAGCUAGUUAACUGGACGUUACCCACAUAAGAAGCAUCGGCUAACUCCGUGCCAGCAGCCGCCGUAACAC
rnacentral:rRNA from 1 species